GCUUGUACGGAUCGGACAUAGUUUUGGAUUCACUAGCCCUCCGAGUAAAGUCCUGAGGAGCCCUGAGAGGGCCGGGCACAGAGCACCAUAGGGUGCGUAGAGAAGUCCUGAGUAGCUCCUUCGCGGGCCGGGCAUAGAACAGAGGGAAUUUUGAAUCUGUCCGUCUGAGAUGGGUGAUUUACUUGUGAUGUGAUGCAUUCCAUGUGAG
rnacentral:lncRNA from 1 species